UUAGCAUAGUUUAACAAAAACAUUAGGCUGUGGCUCUAAAAACAGAAGUUUAAAUCUUCUUGCAAACCG
rnacentral:tRNA from 1 species